AGGUUAAGCUACAAAGAGCACACGGAGGAUGCCUAGGCGCCAGGAGCCGACGAAGGACGUGGCGAACAACGAUAAGGCCUCGGGGAGCUGUAAGCAAGCUUUGAUCCGGGGAUGUCCGAAUGGGGAAACCCGGCUGUCUUCAUCGACAGUCACUACUCACUGAAUUCAUAGGUGAGUGAGAGGCAGACCAGGGGAACUGAAACAUCUAAGUACCCUGAGGAAGAGAAAACAAUAGUGAUUCCGUCAGUAGCGGCGAGCGAACGCGGAUUAGCCCAAACCAAGGAGCUUGUUCCUUGGGGUUGUGGGACGUCUCACAUGGAGUUACAAAGGAACCGGUUAGAUGAAGAGGUCUGGAAAGGCCCGCCAGAGAAGGUAAAAGCCCUGUAGUUCAAAACCCGUUCCCUCCGAGACGGAUCCCGAGUAGUGCGGGGCACGUGAAACCCCGUAUGAAUCCGGCAGGACCAUCUGCCAAGGCUAAAUACUCCCUGGCGACCGAUAGUGAAGCAGUACCGUGAGGGAAAGGUGAAAAGCACCCCGGAAGGGGAGUGAAAUAGAUCCUGAAACCGUGUGCUUACAAGAAGUCAGAGCCUAUGAUAUUUUCCUUUGGAAAAAUCACGGGUGAUGGCGUGCCUUUUGUAGAAUGAACCGGCGAGUUACGUUCCCGUGCAAGGUUAAGGUGAAGAGCUGAAGCCGCAGCGAAAGCGAGUCUGAAUAGGGCGAAUGAGUACGUGGACGUAGACCCGAAACCGGGUGAUCUACCCCUGUCCAGGGUGAAGGUGCGGUAACACGCACUGGAGGCCCGAACCCACGCAUGUUGAAAAAUGCGGGGAUGAGGUGGGGGUAGCGGAGAAAUUCCAAUCGAACCCGGAGAUAGCUGGUUCUCCCCGAAAUAGCUUUAGGGCUAGCCUCGGAAAGAAGAAUCGUGGAGGUAGAGCACUGAUUGGGUGCGGGGCCCGCAAGGGUUACCAAGCUCAGUCAAACUCCGAAUGCCAUAGAUUUAGUUCCGGGAGUCAGACAGUGAGUGCUAAGAUCCAUUGUCGAAAGGGAAACAGCCCAGACCAUCAGCUAAGGUCCCCAAGUGUGUGUUAAGUGGGAAAGGAUGUGGAGUUGCACAGACAACCAGGAUGUUGGCUUAGAAGCAGCCACCAUUGAAAGAGUGCGUAAUAGCUCACUGGUCGAGUGACUCUGCGCCGAAAAUGUAACGGGGCUAAACACACCACCGAAGCUAUGGCUUGAUGCUUGCAUCAGGGGUAGGGGAGCGUUGAAUGCGGGUUGAAGGUGUACCGGAAGGAGCGCUGGACUGCAUUCAAGUGAGAAUGCCGGUAUGAGUAACGAAAAGAUCUGUGAGAAUCAGAUCCGCCGAAAGCCUAAGGGUUCCUGAGGAAGGUUCGUCCGCUCAGGGUAAGUCGGGACCUAAGGCGAGGCCGAUAGGCGUAGUCGAAGGACAACAGGUGGAAAUUCCUGUACCACCGUAAUCCGCUAUGAGCGAUGGGGUGACGCAGUAGGGUAGUGACGCGGACUGAUGGAUGUCCGUCUAAGCAGUGAGGCUGAUGUGUAGGCAAAUCCGCACAUCGUAAGGCUGGGCUGUGAUGGGGAGCGAAAAUUAUAGUAGCGAAGGUCAUGAUCUCAGACUGCCAAGAAAAGCCUCUAGCCAGGAGAAGGUGCCCGUACCGCAAACCGACACAGGUAGGCGAGAAGAGAAUUCUAAGGCGCGCGGAAGAACUCUCGUUAAGGAACUCGGCAAAAUGACCCCGUAACUUCGGGAGAAGGGGUGCCUCGGUAGGGUGAAUAGCCCGAGGGGGCCGCAGUGAAAAGGCCCAAGCGGACUGUUUAGCAAAAACACAGGUCUGUGCGAAGCCGCAAGGCGAA
rnacentral:rRNA from 1 species